GACGGAGGGUGCAAGCGUUGUUCGGAUUGACUGGGCGUAAAGGGCGUGUAGGCGGUUGGUCAAGUCUGAUGUGAAAGCCCGGGGCUCAGCUCCGGAAGGGCAUCGGAAACUAACCAGCUGGAGCGCGAUAGAGGAGGGCGGAAUUCCUGGUGUAGCGGUGAAAUGCGUAGAUAUCAGGAGGAACACCGGCGGCGAAGGCGGCCCUCUGGAUCGUUGCUGACGCUGAGACGCGAAAGCGUAGGGAGCAAACAGG
rnacentral:rRNA from 1 species